rnacentral:lncRNA from 1 species
CAAAGGAAAUUUUAUGUUUGCAUUACUAUAUUACUUUUUAAAGUUUAUUACCACUUAAAUUGAUUUGGAAUGGCCCUGAUGAGAAGCCCUCUGAAUUCAAGCAGAGCCCAUAUGGCCCUUCAUAGAUAGGUAUUCCUACCUGAAAAUGGGUAGAUUUUACCAAUGAAGGCAGAAAUGGAAAAAUUGUAAUAGCAUAUAUUCCCAAUGUUUUAUACGUGCUAUCCCAUUUGAUCCUCACAAUAGCCCUGUUAAGUUGGUGCUGAAAAUAUUAUUUCAUUUUUUACAGAUCGGGAAACUGAGGUUCAGAGAAAUAAAGUGACUUGGCCAAGGUCAAAGAGCCAGUAUUGGAAGUGCUUGAACCAAGACUUGAACUCCACUCCUUUGACUCCAAGAGGAGCACUUUCCACAACACCUAAGCUGCUUUAAAUGGUCUCUUUUUGGGCAAGUUAUGAAAAACAGUCAAAUGGACAUUUGCAUUUUCUCAAACUGGGCACAGAGGUUGUUACAUAAAGAGUAUAAUUAGAAUACAGGUCCCUGAACUAGGCCAGUGAGGCCUUUAAUGUUGAUCCUUAAUUAUUUUGCCAUACUUCAGUCUUGGGAAGCCAGCAUGCUUCCAUCCUUAUUGCUCACAAUACUAAUUUUUCUUCUUCUUCUUUUUUUAUGAAAACAAAUGAGACUUUGAGUGACCUUGUGUGAAUUCCUUUCCCCUUCACCCACUGGGCCAUAGAUUGGAGGGAUGCUGCACUCUUAAUUUUAUAAAAGACGAAAUAGCAGGAACAGGAAAACACACAAGAUUAGAAAAGAUACGGGGCUCCUUCACAAUUUUCCAGCUGGAAUUUUGUAUGGAUCCAUCCAGACUCCCUGGAGGCCUAUUAUUCACACCAGAAAUUCCAUCUCUUCGUUGCUUUGUUACUUCCCCCACUUGGCAAAUAGCUGGUAUUGGCAUAGAUGCUGGAUGAUGGCCCAGUCCAAUUCAACAUGCUGGCAGGGGUCCCAGGAGUAUAUGAGAAUAUCAACAAGACAAAUUGCCAUCCUCCUAAUCUAGCAGGUCUUCAAGUACAGUGUGUAUAAACCUCUGGAAACAUUUGGGCCUUCAUAAAAACUGAAUGUCAUUACCUGGUAUUCAAUCAAUAAUCAACAUUUAUUCAUUACUAUGUGCCAAGGACUGUGUUAAAACCACCCAACACAUAGAACUUCAACAGUGAUACUCAAAACAAAGAAUGACAAUUGUCUCCCUCGGUACAGGCCUAUGACCACAGAGACAAAUUCCCACAGACCUACAGGAGUCAGCUUGUUAUAAUAAAGAGCACUAGAUUUGAAGUCA